rnacentral:rRNA from 1 species
CCUACGGGAGGCAGCAGUAGGGAAUAUUGGACAAUGGGGGGAACCCUGAUCCAGCGACGCCGCGUGAGUGAAGAAGUUAUUCGUAAUGUAAAGCUCUAUCAGCAGGGACGAUAAUGACGGUACCUGACUAAGAAGCACCGGCUAAAUACGUGCCAGCAGCCGCGGUAAU